AAAGGUGCAGAGAGGGGGAGUUAUGUGUGUUGGCCAGCAGCAGCAGCUUCGGGUCGAGGAUGGGGACUGUAAAACAUUGUCAUAAAGAAACAUCAUAAAAUGGCUGCAGACUCUAAACAUGACAGAAGAGGCUCAACAGACCUAAUUGAGAUGGAGGAUGCACCAACCGACGAGCAACACCUGCCUCGCAAAUGCACACAUGAACAAUCCCCUUCACCGUGCAGCAGCACCCCUGCCACCGCCGACAUAUAUUAUCCACAAAGAGCAGAGGAAAAAACAAGGCCGCGUGCCUGUGAAGUCGUGCCAGGAAUUCUCAGCACGUAGUUUGUGAAAAAUAAAAAGAAGAAA